AUAAAGCGCAUUUGUCGUUGCAUCCUUAACAUAAAGGCAACGAUUCAGGUGCUUUUCUU
rnacentral:pre_miRNA from 1 species